rnacentral:lncRNA from 1 species
AUUAAAUGGGGGACAUGGAGAUCCUCUUACCAUAGAGAUGUGUAGGAAUUAACCAGCCCACAGUGACAGGAAGGAGGAAGUCAGGAGUCCCCUGCUCAGCCAGCAUCAGGCUGUUGGUUGCUAACAGUUAGGACUAGCAGUUGUGGCUUUCUGAUGUCUUUCCAGUUUGGAGCUCCUGCUUAGAUAAAACAGAUGACUUUCUGGGCCUGCUUCUGCUAACAGCAGGCAGGAGCAACGGUGACUGAUUGGUUGAAACAUGAGGAUUAAUGGGUGACUGGGUCAAGAAACAGCAGAACUAGAAGCCCAGGCUCCCCAUGUCACAACCUCCAAAAUGUGUGGCAAGAUGCAGAAAAUAUGAUGUCCUCCAUGUUUAAAGAAGAGGGAAGAUAUUUUAAUUCCUAUUCUCUUUCCGUAAUAAAUGGAUAACCAGGGUACAGAAUUCACUGUAAAAUAAAAAUAGCAUGUAAUUACA